UAUAUUCGUAUUUCUUUUCGGAAUACAUAAAUCUUUUGCCUUUAAAUAAAGCUUUCCGUGGAGAUGAUCAAUAAGAGUGUAAUUGCUAUUUUUUGUAUCCCCUACAUGUUCAGGGUU